rnacentral:lncRNA from 1 species
UCCAGUUUCCCGUCUACGUCUACCACCUGUGCGGGUUUUCGCUGCCUUCUGGAAAGUGGAGGUUGUAUCGAGGGGCGUGGCAGGAUCGCCCGAGGCUUAUCGUAGUGGGGAGCACGGGAGGUGUUGCGAGGGGAGAAAUGCCUAGACACGGGCUAACGUGGGAGGGGGUCGCUUUACAGCUUGGAUACCUUCCCCGCAGGCGCAUGCUGCUGCUCGCCCACCUUUGGCGUUUUGCUGACUCACGCCAACUCUCGGUCCAGAGUGGAUCAGUUUCAAUUAGUCCUGCUAGUUGAAUCAGCUGGGUGAGGAGCACACUUCUGCUUGCCUCUUUGCUCUGUCCUCAGUUCCUUCACACUUCAUAGGUGUUCAACUGGGUCAUUGAGAAUGAAGUUCUGCCACCCCAAGGCACAUCACCCACUGCCAGAAAACCUGAACAAGCCCUUUUAUAAGUUCAUUGUUUAUCCUGGGUCUACAGACAAAGCAGAUCUCAAGUGUCUGUAAAAGAUACACCUCACACACACACUCAAUUUGCAAAAUUAGACAACUUUAUUCCAAUGCGCUCAAAUUACACCCGUUUAUAUUUCCGAGACAAUCUCUCUAGAGAGCCUAAGCUAACUUAAGAACUGAACCUCCUGCCUGUCGCCAAAGUGCUGGAAUUAAAGGCAUGUGACAACACUCGACUGCCCAUUCAUCCAGCUUAAGCAUUAUUGCAAUGGGGAGCUGCCAGUCUUGGUGUUAAAGUUUAAAAAAGCUAUCAGCAUGCCUGAGGUUAUAGAUUAGUUGGUAAAAUGCUUGUCUACCCUGAGGCUUUGUGUUUGAUCCCCGGUACCUCAUAAAACUGGGUGCGGUGCAUGCCAAUAACUCCAACAUUCAGGAGGCAGGGAUAGAAUGAUCAAGAAUUCAAGGUUGCUGGACUUAGAUGGAACCAGCCUUUAAUCCCGGCACUCAGGAGGCAGAAAAAGGCAGAUCUCUGAGUUCAAGGCCACCCUGAUCUACAGAAUUCCAGGACAACUAGGGUUAAAGAGAAAAACCUAAGG